rnacentral:rRNA from 2 species
UCGAUAAUCCACGAAUACCAAACCUUCCCUUGAUAAGCCAGCAUGUAUACUGCCGUUGUAAGCAUACCUUUAAAAGAAUAAGUUUGCCGCUAUGACCAAUAAAAUGACUCAUAUACAUCAGGUCAAAGUGCAGCCAAUAAGAAGGUGACGAUGGGUUACAACCCUAAAAUAGACUAUCAACUAAGAAAUAAAAAAUCUUACGAAAGUGGACUUGACUGUAAUUAAUUAAAAGAUAUAGAAAUGAAUAAAUUUCUAAGACAUGUACACAUCGCCCGUCACUCUACCCUAAAGGCUAGAUAAGUCGUAACAAAGUAGGUGUAAUGGAAAUUGCCCCUGUCGGGGCAUAGCAUAUAAAAUGCUUUUUACUUACACUAAAAAUAAAGUUAGCCAACUUGCUCCGCGCAUAAAUAUAUGCCUUACAAGUAAUUGAAAAUACAAAUAAAUUAAUAACCCAAAUUAAUAAGUACAGAAAUGGAAUAAAUAAUAAACAAAAGUAAAUUUAAAUAAAUGUACCUUGUGCAUUAUGGUUUUACAAGAAAAUAAUUAAAAAUAUUUAUCCCGAAUUCUAUAUGAGAUGUUAAGCUGCUGUAAUGAACCCAUUAAUAGCUGUGGAAUAAGCUUUAAAAGACAGCUUAACAGAGGCUACAUACCAUACGCAUAAGAAUAUAGCUGGUUUUCAACAAACAUUAUAUAUUAAAGCAUGUAGCUAUGCUACAGUGUUAUAUUAUUGAGGAUAAGCCCAAUAACUAGAGCAAUAACUACUUAAAUCUGUAUAACUUAAUAGGCCUAAAACCAGCCAACAAAAACACUUUACCGUAAUAAAAAAUGAUAUAAUAAAUAAAUCUAACAUGCUAAAAUAGUUGAAAUAAUGGAUAAAUUAUAUACACCAUUUUCAAUAUGUAAAAAUAAGUAUUAAAAAAUAUAUAAAUAGUAAGCUAGUAAUAAACAAACUAUACUUAAGAAUAAUUAAUUAAGGAACUCGGCAAAACAUUAUUUCGACUGUUUAACAAAAACAUUGUUCCAUGAAUAAAAAUAUGGGAUAAUACCUGCCCAGG